rnacentral:rRNA from 1 species
GACGAACGCUGGCGGCGUGCUUAACACAUGCAAGUCGAACGAUGAAGCUGGAGCUUGCUCUAGCGGAUUAGUGGCGAACGGGUGAGUAACACGUGAGCAAUCUGCCCUUGACUCUGGGAUAACUGCGGGAAACUGUAGCUAAUACCGGAUACGAGACUUGGAGGCAUCUCUGAGUCUGGAAAGAAUUUCGGUCAAGGAUGAGCUCGCGGCCUAUCAGCUGGUUGGUGAGGUAAUGGCUCACCAAGGCGACGACGGGUAGCCGGCCUGAGAGGGUCACUGGCCACCCUGGGACUGAGACACGGCCCACACUCCUACGUGAGGCAGGAGUGGGGAAAACUGCACGAGGGGUAAAAGCCUGAUGCAGCAACGCCGCGUCAGGGAUGAAGGCCUUCGGGUUGUAAGCCUCUUUUAGCAGGGAAGGAGCGAAAGUGACGGUACCUGCAGAAAAAGCACCGGCUAGCUACGUGCCAGCCGUCGCCGGAA